rnacentral:rRNA from 1 species
AGUAACGCGUGAGUAACCUGCCUUACACAAGGGGAUAGCCUUUGGAAACGAAGAAUAAUACCCUAUAAAACCAUAAAAGCACAUGCUAGAAUGGUCAAAGUGAUAGCGGUGUAAGAUGGACUUGCGUCUGAUUAGCUAGUUGGUGAGAUAAAAGCUCACCAAGGCAACGAUCAGUAGCCGGCUUGAGAGAGUGUACGGCCACAUUGGGACUGAGACACUGCCCAG